GAAGAUGAUGAAAGGAACAUAUCUGAACAUGCAGGAUCUUCAGGAGAAUUCAUCCUCCACAUACAUGAUUCUCAAGACUAUCCACCUUCGAGAUCACCAUCAUUUUCUAUAGUUUCAGUUAUCUGCCAAUGUAUGUCACAUAGCCACAGUAUAUCAUCUGUAGCAAAAAG